rnacentral:rRNA from 1 species
GACGAACGCUGGCGGCAUGCCUAAUACAUGCAAGUCGAGCGAACAGAUGAAGUGCUUGCACUUCUGACGUUAGCGGCGAACGGGUGAGUAACACGUAAGGAAUCUACCUAUAAGCGGGGGAUAACAUUCGGAAACGGGUGCUAAUACCGCAUAAUAUCCUCUUCCGCAUGGAAGAAGAUUGAAAGACGGCUCUGCUGUCACUUAUAGAUGACCUUGCGGUGCAUUAGUUAGUUGGUGGGGUAAUGGCCUACCAAGACGAUGAUGCAUAGCCGACCUGAGAGGGUGAUCGGCCACAUUGGGACUGCGACACGGCCCAAACUCCUACGGGAGGCAGCAGUAGGGAAUCUUCCGCAAGGGGCGAAAGCCUGACGGAGCAAUGCCGCGUGAGUGAAGAAGGCCUUCGGGUCGUAAAACUCUGUUAUAAGAGAAGAACAAAUUGUAGAGUAACUGCUACAGUCUUGACGGUAUCUUGUCAGAAAGCCACGGCUAACUACGUGCCAGCCGCCGCAGUAA